UACGUAGGGUGCGAGCGUUGUCCGGAAUUAUUGGGCGUAAAGAGCUCGUAGGCGGUCUGUCGCGUCUGCUGUGAAAACUCAGGGCUUAACCCUGAGCUUGCAGUGGGUACGGGCAGACUAGAGUGCGGUAGGGGAGACUGGAAUUCCUGGUGUAGCGGUGAAAUGCGCAGAUAUCAGGAGGAACACCGGUGGCGAAGGCGGGUCGCUGGGACGUUACUGACGACUGGAGACGCGAAAGCGUGGGGAGCAAACAGG
rnacentral:rRNA from 1 species